UACGAAGGGGGCUAGCGUUGCUCGGAAUCACUGGGCGUAAAGCGCACGUAGGCGGCUUCUUAAGUCAGGGGUGAAAUCCUGGAGCUCAACUCCAGAACUGCCUUUGAUACUGGCGAGCUUGGGUCCGGGAGAGGUGAGUGGAACUGCGAGUGUAGAGGUGAAAUUCGUAGAUAUUCGCAAGAACACCAGUGGCGGAGGCGGCUCACUGGCCCGGUACUGACGCUGAGGUGCGAAAGCGUGGGGAGCAAACAGG
rnacentral:rRNA from 1 species